rnacentral:rRNA from 1 species
UACAGAGGUCUCAAGCGUUGUUCGGAUUCAUUGGGCGUAAAGGGUGCGUAGGCGGCGCGGUAAGUCGGGUGUGAAAUCUCGGAGCUUAACUCCGAAACUGCAUUCGAUACUGCCGUGCUUGAGGACUGGAGAGGAGACUGGAAUUUACGGUGUAGCGGUGAAAUGCGCAGAUAUCGGGAGGAACACCAGUGGCGAAGGCGGCACUCUGGGCCGGUACUGACGCUGAGGAGCGAAAGCGUGGGGAGCGAACAGG